CAGCAGCCGCGGUAAUACGUAGGUGACAAGCGUUGUCCGGAAUUAUUGGGCGUAAAGGGAGCGCAGGCGGUUGGAAUAGUCUGAUGUGAAAGCCCACGGCUUAACCGUGGAAUUGCAUUGGAAACUGUCCAACUUGAAUGCAGAAGAGGAAAGCGGAAUUCCAUGUGUAGCGGUGAAAUGCGUAGAUAUAUGGAGGAACACCAGUGGCGAAGGCGGCUCACUGGCCCGAUACUGACGCUGAGGUGCGAAAGCGUGGGGAGCAAACAGGAUUAGAUACCCGAGUAGUCCCUGUCUCUUAUAC
rnacentral:rRNA from 1 species